UUUUCCAACAUUAAGGAAUUGCCUCAAAUA
rnacentral:piRNA from 1 species